UACGUAGGGGGCGAGCGUUGUCCGGAUUUAUUGGGCGUAAAGAGCGUGUAGGCGGCCAGGUAGGUCUGCUGUGAAAACUCGAGGCUCAACCUCGAGACGUCGGCGGAAACCAUCUGGCUAGAGUCCGGAAGAGGAGAGUGGAAUUCCUGGUGUAGCGGUGAAAUGCGCAGAUAUCAGGAAGAACAUCGGUGGCGAAGGCGCUCUGCUGGACCAUAACUGACACUCAGGGACGAAAGCUAGGGGAGCGAAUGGG
rnacentral:rRNA from 1 species